GAUGAACGCUGGCGGCGUGCUUAACACAUGCAAGUCGAACGGUGAACGAGGGAGCUUGCUCCCUCCGGAUCAGUGGCGAACGGGUGAGUAACACGUGAGCAAUCUGCCCUGGACUCUGGGAUAAGCGUUGGAAACGACGUCUAAUACCGGAUACGAGGCGUGGGGGCAUCCCCAACGCCUGGAAAGAACUUCGGUCCAGGAUGAGCUCGCGGCCUAUCAGCUAGUUGGUGAGGUAACGGCUCACCAAGGCGACGACGGGUAGCCGGCCUGAGAGGGUGACCGGCCACACGGGGACUGAGACACGGCCCAGACUCCUACGGGAGGCAGCAGUGGGGAAUAUUGCACAAUGGGCGCAAGCCUGAUGCAGCAACGCCGCGUGAGGGACGACGGCCUUCGGGUUGUAAACCUCUUUUAGCAGGGAAGAAGCGAAAGUGACGGUACCUGCAGAAAAAGCACCGGCUAACUACGUGCCAGCCGCCGCCGCAGUAA
rnacentral:rRNA from 1 species